UUGUGUGUGUGUGUGUGUAGCAGUGUGAUGUUGUUCCCUUAGAUUAUGCACCAAGUUGCACACAAGGACCAAUUCAAAUAGGCCAGGUCAAGAGGGGAUGUUAAUAAUUUGAUAAUAAUAAUAAUAAUUCAG